UUCUUCUAAUUUCAUUGAUUAAAUUUUACAAAUUGCAAUAUGGUCUCCAAAAAAACAAUUACAUGCUAACUUGUCCGGCAACCGGAAGGCCGGGGAAAAACUGCUGGAAAAAACAUCGUAUAGUCGGAAAAUCAAGAAAGUUUUUGUAGUCUCUUUCUUCAGUGAUUUGAUGAAAAAACUUCAAAAUCUGUAGUGAAAAAUUUGAGAAUAUGGAAAGAGAAAUGUGCUUUGAGUGUUUACAGCGUCGAAUUCAAUCAGAUUUCUCUGACCAACUCAUCUUCUGCUAUGGUGUUUCUAAUUCACCUCUUCCCUUUGGUUCUACUGCUAUUGUUCAGACAUCAAGUUCAAAUGGAGAAGGGUUGCCUCAGUUUCUGCUGAAGUAUAUGCCCCUGUGUAAAGAUAGUUGCUUGGCUAAUUACAUUGAUCAACAUUAUUUGGAAGAUUUUGAAGCCAGAACGAAUAGUGGCAGUGGGUGUGAAGUCCCGGUGGCGAUUGAUCAGGUUAAAACUGAGGUCAGUGUUGGACUUUCCAGUGAUAAAACUUCUUCUUUAGAAACUAGAUCAUCUGAAUGUGAAGAUUUGCAGAAUGGUGGCAGACAUCAAUCCCUAUAUGGCUUAGCCUGUCAAAAUGUGACCUGUAACUUUUCUGGUACAUUUUCUUGCUUUAGGACACUGUCUGCCCUGGCUCCAGUUGCUCGGAUUGGGAUUUCUUCAUCUUCAUUUGUUGAAGGUAUUGUUUCAGAGUUCUUGUCUGGAUCACUUGAAGAUCAUGUUUUAAAUUCUCUUACUCUCAUGAUAGAAGGUAAAAGAUCAGGAUUGGAGAGUGUGAACUUUCUUAGUUUAGUGGGGAUCCCAUCAUUUGGUGAAGAACAACUUCCUGGCUGCAUAAGGCAUCCAAACAUUUCUCCAACUUUGGGAAUGCUAAAAAAUUCUGGUCAACUUAAUUUGUUGCUUCCAAAAAUGCCACAUACCUUGGAAAACAUUCUUCACUUUAGCCCUGGUGCCUUAAAGUCUGACUGGCAUAUGCGGUAUUUACUCUUCCAGAUACUAUCAGGAUUAGCAUACAUGCAUGGUUUAGGUGUUUUCCAUGGUAAUGUCUGUCCAUCCAAUAUAUCAUUGGUUGAUUCCUUAUGGUGUUGGCUACCCAUUUGUAGUAAGUUCCUCCAGAGUUCUGUUUCAAUUUCCAAAAUAGAGGGUAGUUGUGAUUCAGGAGUUAGUUGCUGUUUUGAUGGGUGCCCUUUACAAGGUCUUUAUGCUGAUCUAAGCCUCUCCCAGUCUACAGAUUGGUAUUCUAGCUUUAAACUUUGGUGGAGGGGUGAAAUAAGUAACUUCGAAUAUCUGUUACUCUUAAACCAAUUAGCCGGGAGAAGAUGGGGUGAUAACACCUUUUAUAUUGUAAUGCCAUGGGUCAUAGAUUUUAGUGUGAAACCUGAUGAGAAUAAUGACACUGGAUGGAGAGAUUUAACUAAAAGCAAGUGGCGGCUGGCAAAGGGUGACGAGCAAUUGGACUUCACAUAUUCGACAUCUGAAAUUCCUCAUCAUAUAUCAGAUGAGUGCCUGUCUGAGCUGGCUGUCUGCAGUUAUAAGGCAAGGAGGUUGCCUUUGGCUGUUCUGAGGAUGGCUGUUCGUUCAGUUUAUGAACCUAAUGAAUAUCCUUCUACUAUGCAAAGACUAUAUCAAUGGACACCAGAUGAGUGCAUUCCGGAAUUUUUUUGUGAUCCCCAGAUAUUUUAUUCUAUACAUUCUGGGAUGUCUGAUUUAGCUGUGCCUUCAUGGGCUGGAACCCCUGAGGAGUUCAUCAAGUUGCACAGAGAUGCUUUAGAAAGCGAUAGGGUAUCACACCAACUACAUCAUUGGAUUGACAUCACUUUUGGCUACAAAUUGUGCGGUGAUGCUGCUGUUGCUGCCAAAAAUGUUAUGCUGCCCUCAUCUGCUCCUACAAAACCGAAGUCAGUGGGCCGCCGCCAACUCUUUACUAAACCACAUCCUCCUCGGCGGCUGGCCAAGACCAGUGAAGCAGAAAUGAAUCAGUUCUCUACAAGUGAUUUGACUGAGCAUGCUCUGCCUUUUGAAACUUCAUUCUUGUAUGAAUUAGAACAAGCAGCUGUGUUUUCUGAGCAUGCACCUCGUUUGGAUCCUAUCUACAACUUGCAUCCAGAUGUUCAUGAAGAGCUUGACUCACCUGGGAAAGGCCUAUCAACUAAAACAUUAGAUAAUAUUAUGUCCAGAAAAACUGGCUCUAGCACCAAUUCUGUUAUGCCAUCUGCUAUUGAUGUUAAUUACCUUAUCAGGAAUAUUGAAGUGGGUGAUGAUGUAUCUGUGGGAUAUCAAGCACUAUUACUUUGGAAGCAGAAAUGUUCCCAUUCACACAUUUAUUCCAAAGAUUUUGCUAAUGAUAUCUUUGCAGUUGGCUGUAUCUUAGCAGAACUCCACUUGAGUAGGCCACUUUUUGAUCCAACCUCUAUGGCUGUGUACUUAGAGAGUGGUGUCUUACCUUCUUUAGUACAACAGCUUCCCCCUGACGCUCAAGUUGUUGUUGAAUCCUGCAUCCAAAAGGAUUGGAGGAGGAGGCCUACUGCCAAAUGUCUUUUGGACUCUCCUUAUUUUCUAGCAACAAUCAAGUCAUCCUAUUUGUUUCUUGCCCCCCUUCAACUUAUAGCAAAAGAUGAAUCACGACUUCAUUAUGCUGCAGCUUUUGCUCAACAGGGAGCCUUGAAAGCAAUGGGAACAUUUGCUGCCGAAAUGUGUGCUCCUAACUGUUUGAAAUUAGUCUUGAAUCCUUUAUCAGAUUCGGAAGCUGAAUGGGGUUGCAUAGUACUUACAGAAUUUUUGAGGUGUCUAGAUCCAGAAGCUGUAAAGAAGCUAGUCGUACCUGCUAUCCAGAAGAUUCUUCAGGGGACUGGUCCUUCAUAUUUGAAGGUGUCUCUUCUCCAAGGUUCCUUUGUGCUGGAUAUAUGGAACAAGAUUGGUAAACAAGCAUAUGUGGAGACAAUACACCCAUUUGUGGUAUUAAACUUACACGGUACUCCUUGCAAGAACUCUGCUGCUGCUGCUUCUGUCCUGUUGAUUGGGUCUAGUGAGGAACUUGGUAUUCCAAUUACUGUUCAUCAGACAAUUUUACCUCUCCUUCACUGCUUUGGCAAAGGGCUCAGUGAUGAUGGAAUUGAUGUCUUAGUUAGAAUUGGUAGUCUUUUUGGAGAAGAUUUCAUAGUCAAACAGAUUCUACCAUUACUAAGAAUUGUCAUCACUUCGUGCAUUGACAAUUCAUUUGCAAAUAAGCAUGAAACUGCACAGAGUUGGAGUGCUUUGGCCCUAAUUGACACUCUAAUGACUUUAGAUGGUCUCACUGCUUCCUUGACCCGGGAGGUGCUUGUUAAGGAGCUUGUUGAAGAUGGAAAAUUCUUAUAUCUGCAAGUUCUCAUGCAGACCAACUUAGGAAUUCAGGUGUUCGAGGGUGCUGCAAGGAAUCUGCUAGCUCUUUGCCAGCAAAUUGGAUCAGACUUAACAGCGUUGCACGUCCUUCCAAAACUCAGGAAACUUUUUGAUGAGCUUGCCUUCUCCCAGGAGAAAGCAGGUCAUUCUAGCAUCAAGGGAGGAAGCCUUCGAGGUCCCAAUACCAAGAAGGAAGAUGAGAACAAAAUUACAAGCCGUUUGGACCUUGUGAUGCUUUUAUAUCCAUCAUUUGCAUCUCUUCUUGGUAUAGAGAAGCUUCGCCAAUGUUGUGCCACAUGGUUGCUACUAGAGCAGUUUCUUCUACGCCGUUAUAAUUGGAAGUGGGAAUCCACAGGGGAAUCUUCUCGAAGUGGUCCAUCUAGUAUAUAUGCUAGAAAGCCGACUCAUGGUGAGAGCUUAACAUCUAAACAUACUCCAGAUACGUUGCUGAAUGGGUUAGGGUGGUCAACGCCUCAAUCACAAGGAAAAAAGGGUGCCAAACCUCCUAUGAUCAACAGACAUCCGUCCAGUCAACAUCAGGAUUCUGCUGAUAGGAAUGCAAGAGGCUCAGAUUUUAGCAGGAUUGAGCCCUGGUAUUGGUUCCCCAGUCCAGCUGCUAAUUGGAGUGGCCCUGAUUUUAUUGGCCGUCCUGGUGGUUCAAAGGAUGAACUUCCAUGGAAAAUCAAAGCAUCAGUUCUGCACUCUGUUAGAGCACAUCAAGGAUUGCUAAGGUCUAUAGCAGUCUGCCAAGAUGAAUGCAAUCUUUUCACUGCUGGAGUUGCUCCAGGAUUCAAAGGAACUGUUCAAAAGUGGGAGUUGUCAAGAAUUGAUUCUGUAUCUGGUUAUUAUGGCCAUGAGGAGGUUGUGAACGACAUUUCUCUUUUGGCAUCAAGUGGAAGGGUAGCUUCCUGUGAUGGGACAGUACAUGUAUGGAAUGGCCAAACGGGGAAGCUGAUAUCUGUGUUUGCUGAGUUUUCUACGAGUUCUGUGCAUCAUACAAGCUCUUUACCAAAAGCUUCAAAGUUGAAUGUGGAACAGGCUAAUAUGCUACAUUUUAAUCCAUUGUCCGGUGGAAUAUUGAACACUGAUGGUAAUUUAUACACUAGUAUGUAUUACUCAGAAUAUCUGGACAAUAUUGUAGUGGGUACUGGAAAUGGAUCUCUCAGAUUCAUUGAUGUCAGACAAGGUCAAAAACUUCAUUUAUGGAGGACUGAAGCAACUGAAUCCAAUUUUCCUUCUCUCAUAUCAUCUAUAUGCUCAAGUGCUUCGACCAAACAGCAAUGCGGAAAUCCUCAAUAUCCAUCUUGGGUUGCUGCUGGACAAAGUUCUGGGCAUUGCAGGUUAUUUGAUGUGAGGAGUGGCAAAAUUAUUUCCUCAUGGCAAGCUCAUGAUGGUUUUGUCACUAAGAUAGCCACAUCGGAAGAGCAUUUGCUGGUUUCAAGCUCUCAUGACCGCACCUUAAAGAUUUGGGACUUGAGAAGGUCACUUUGGUGUUAUACAUUUAUUCUUAAGCUUAGCAAUAUGGAGAAACUAAGCUCCCACAAAAUGGGGAUAAAAUUGGAAAUCAAAACCCUUGGCUUCUAGAGGUCACACUGAUGGUGUUUCUGAUUUCUCCAUUUGGGGGCAAUAUGUGAUUUCAAUUUUCCGCAGUAAAAUUGGGCUUUCUUCUUUGGCCUGUUCUUCUGAUGAAGACGUUCAGCAACUUGUCGCGCCUCAGUAUCUCUACAUGGGUGAUCGUGAAUCAAAGAACGUGUCUGUUUUAUCAAGUAUCAGUGUUUUACCUUUUUCGCGGCUCUUUGUUGUUGGAACAGAAGAUGGUCACUUGAAGAUCUGUUGCUAGCUUGCUUCUGUCCUGGAAAAUCUCUUUGCCUUCCAAUUUUCCUAAUUUAUUUUGUAUUAAUUGUUUCAUUUAAGUUGGUUGUUAUCAAAUUGGACAUUCUUUAUGGUGUUUCCUCAUACUUGCGGAGGAUAUAAUGAACUUGAAAUGUCACUUACGUAACUUUCUUUUCGUUAUUUGCCUCAUUUUAAAGAAA